AGCACUUCGGUGCGAGUACAGCGGCGGACGGGUGAGUAACGCGUAGGAAUCUACCUAGUAGUGGGGGACAACAUGUGGAAACGCAUGCUAAUACCGCAUACGCCCUAUGGGGGAAAGCAGGGGAUCUUCGGACCUUGCGCUAUUGGAUGAGCCUGCGUCAGAUUAGCUAGUUGGUGGGGUAAUGGCCUACCAAGGCAACGAUCUGUAGCUGGUCUGAGAGGAUGACCAGCCACACUGGAACUGAGACACGGUCCAGACUCCUACGGGAGGCAGCAGUGGGGAAUAUUGGACAAUGGGCGCAAGCCUGAUCCAGCCAUGCCGCGUGUGUGAAGAAGGCUCUAGGGUUGUAAAGCACUUUCAGUAGGGAGGAAAAGUUAGUAGUUAAUAUCUGCUAACCCUGACGUUACCUACAGAAGAAGCACCGGCAAACUCCGUGCCAGCAGCCGCGGUAAUACGGAGGGUGCGAGCGUUAAUCGGAAUUACUGGGCGUAAAGCGCGCGUAGGCGGUUUGAUAAGCUGGAUGUGAAAGCCCUAGGCUCAACCUGGGAACUGCAUCCAGAACUGUCUGACUAGAGUACAGUAGAGGUGAGUGGAAUUUCCUGUGUAGCGGUGAAAUGCGUAGAUAUAGGA
rnacentral:rRNA from 1 species